rnacentral:lncRNA from 1 species
UUCAUUGAACCCUAGUAAACCCAGUGGAAGUUUACUGCCCCCUAGUAAACUUCUACUAGGGGUCAGUAAACUUCAAUACGCUAUGUCCCUUUCACAAUCAUGUCAAUUAUACACAACAGAUAUCCAUUCUUACCCUAAUAAACAACUUCAUUGAACCCUAGUAAACCCAGUGGAAGUUUACUGCCCCCUAGUAAACUUCUACUUGACAAGAGUAAACAACAAUACAGUAUCUCCCUUUCAUUGUCAUGCCAAUUAUACACAGUAAAUCUUUGAAAGAAAAUCUUAAACAAAAUUAAUCUCAAUCUGUAACAGUUAUGACCAGAGAAACCAUAUAAUUUUCAUGUUUUCAUAUUCAUGGCCUUUAAUCCCUAGAAUAAAUCUUCAAUAUCAUCAAAUAAGUCCAAAAUAAGCCUAAAUUCAAUAAAAUUCAAAAUGUACAUGUUUUUAUGGUUUUUUCCCGAGCGAGGUCGAGUGAGAGCGAUUGAAGCAGAUAUCGACGCCGAUAUUCAACCAGAGAGUGACGCCGAGCGUGAGCGAUUGAACGUGACAGCAAUGCCGAGAUUGAACCACAUAUCAACUUCGAUCGAUUGAGAUUAGGGCAGAGAUGGAUUUCUUGCUCAACUGGGAUUUAUCUGCAUGCGUAGAGCGACGGAGUCGAUAGAUAUUUAAUGAGAGAGCGACGUGGCCUGAUCGAUGGAAUCACGAAGAUCGUGAAGAACCUAAACCAGAGAUCGUUAUCGAGUGUUAGAGAGAGAUAGAGAGAGUGGGAGAGGUGAGAGUUCGGUUGAUCGUGGAGAGUGGGAGUCUGGGAGAAUGUGGUAAUUUCCUUUUUUUUUGAACAUGAGAGAGAACGUGUAAUUAAUUAAUGCAAUAAGGGUGUAAUAUUAAUUGUUAGAGGCGUUAAAUGUCACAUCCCGACCCUUAUAUUUUUACCUUAUUUACUAGCGUGAUUAUAAUAAGAAUUUUACCGUCUCGAUCAUUGAGUUAAUAGUUUAAUUGGUCCCUAGAGGGGUUUCGGGGACGAUUAUGUGCGGAGGAUUAUUCGUAUGAGGAAAAUAUGAC